rnacentral:tRNA from 1 species
GCCGGGAUAGUCUAGUCUGGGAAGGCGGUGGCCUUGAAAGCCACUGGUGCUUGGCACCUCAGGAGUUCAAAUCUCCUUCCCGGCG